GUGAGGGAGCUGCAGGCCGCCAUGAGGCCUCCCCUCAGCCUGCUCUGCUCUGGGCUGAACAAACCAAGGGACCUCAACUGCUCCUCAUAUGUCUUCCCCUCUAGACCCUUCACCAUCUUCAUAGUCCUCCCUUGGACACUCUCAUGGUUUUAAAUCCCAUGGGCCCCA